rnacentral:rRNA from 1 species
UACGUAGGUGGCAAGCGUUGUCCGGAAUUAUUGGGCGUAAAGCGUGCGCAGGCGGUUCGCUGUGUCCUGUGUGAAAGCCCCGGGCUUAACCUGGGAAUGGCAUGGGAAACUGGCGGGCUGGAGUGUGGCAGAGGGGGUGGAAUUCCGCGUGUAGCAGUGAAAUGCGUAGAGAUGCGGAGGAACACCGAUGGCGAAGGCAGCCCCUGGGCUAACACUGACGCUCAGGCACGAAAGCGUGGGGAGCAAACAGG